UACGAAGGGGGCUAGCGUUGUUCGGAAUUACUGGGCGUAAAGCGCGCGUAGGCGGACAUUUAAGUCAGGGGUGAAAUCCCAGGGCUCAACCCUGGAACUGCCUUUGAUACUGGAUGUCUGGAGUUCGGGAGAGGUGAGUGGAAUUCCGAGUGUAGAGGUGAAAUUCGUAGAUAUUCGGAGGAACACCAGAAGCGAAGGCGGCUCACUGGCCCGAUACUGACGCUGAUGCGCGAAAGCGUGGGGAGCAAACAGG
rnacentral:rRNA from 1 species